AUCAGGUAGGAAUACCCGCUGAACUUAAGCAUAUCAAUAANGCGGAGGAAU
rnacentral:rRNA from 1 species